rnacentral:ribozyme from 1 species
AAAAAAAAAAAAAAAAAAAAAAAAAAACAAAACCAAAAAAGCAGAAGAACAGCUCUUUGAUCAUUCCUCUUCAUCAUGAACUUCAAGUUCCUUCUCGUCAUUUU